rnacentral:rRNA from 1 species
GAUGAAACGCUGGCGGCGUGCCUAACACAUGCAAGUCGAACGGACAUUUUUUGGAAAGCUCUUCGGAACUGGAAUCUAAAUGUUAGUGGCGGACGGGUGAGUAACGCGUGAGCAAUCUGCCUUUCAGAGGGGGAUAACAGCCGGAAACGGCUGCUAAUACCGCAUAAUGCAUCGGAUUCGCAUGUUUCUGAUGCCAAAGAUUUUAUCGCUGAAAGAUGAGCUCGCGUCUGAUUAGCUAGUUGGCGGGGGUAACGGCCCGACCCAACGGACGGACCGA